GGAGUUGUGGCUCAGUGGUACAGUGCACGCCUUGUACAUGUGAGGCACUGGAUUCGAUCCUCAGCACCA
rnacentral:tRNA from 1 species